rnacentral:rRNA from 1 species
CUCCUACGGGACGCAGCAGUGGGGAAUAUUGCACAAUGGGGGGAACCCUGAUGCAGCGACGCCGCGUGAGUGAAGAAGUAUUUCGGUAUGUAAAGCUCUAUCAGCAGGGAAGAAAAUGACGGUACCUGACUAAGAAGCCCCGGCUAACUACGUGCCAGCAGCCGCGGUAAUACGUAGGGGGCAAGCGUUAUCCGGAUUUACUGGGUGUAAAGGGAGCGUAGACGGCAGAGCAAGUCUGAAGUGAAAGCCCGCGGCCCAACU